rnacentral:rRNA from 1 species
AGCGAACGCUGGCGGCGUGCUUAACACAUGCAAGUCGAGCGAAGGUGUUUCAAGGGUAACCUUGAGAUACACUUAGCGGCGGACGGGUGAGUAAUACGUGGAUAACUUACCUCUAGGCCUGGGAUAACCCCGGGAAACUGGGGCUAAUACCUGAUAAGACCACAUUGUCUACGGACAAAGGGGUAAAAGGUGGCUGUGCAAACAGCUAUCGCCAAAAGAUAGGUUCACGUCCCAUCAGGCAGUUGGCGAGGUAAUGGCUCACCAAACCAAAGACGGGUAGCCGGCCUUGGCGGGUGAACGGCCACACGGGGACUGAGACACGGCCCCGACUCCUACGGGAGGCAGCAGUGGGGAAUAUUGGGCAAUGGGCGCAAGCCUGACCCAGCGACGCCGCGUUGGGAAGAAGGCC